GACGAACGCUGGCGGCGUGCUUAACACAUGCAAGUCGUGCGGUAAGGCCCUUUCGGGGGUACACGAGUGGCGAACGGGUGAGUAACACGUGAGUAACCUGCCCACAACUUUGGGAUAACGCUAGGAAACUGGUGCUAAUACUGGAUAUGUGCUCCUGCUGCAUGGUGGGGGUUGGAAAGCUCCGGCGGUUGUGGAUGGACUCGCGGCCUAUCAGCUUGUUGGUGGGGUAGUGGCCUACCAAGGCGGCGACGGGUAGCCGGCCUGAGAGGGUGACCGGCCACAUUGGGACUGAGAUACGGCCCAGACUCCUACGGGAGGCAGCAGUGGGGAAUAUUGCACAAUGGGCGCAAGCCUGAUGCAGCAACGCCGCGUGCGGGAUGACGGCCUUCGGGUUGUAAACCGCUUUCAGCAGGGACGAAGCUUUUUGUGACGGUACCUGCAGAAGAAGCACCGGCUAACUACGUG
rnacentral:rRNA from 1 species